AGAGAGAGAGAGAGAAAAUGAAAGAAAGACACACCUGGUACCUUAAAAAAGAGCAGGUCGAUCAUCAGCAAGGAAAGCGACACGCGGUGCUGUCGUCCGUAAAAGUUUUGCCUUUGUGGUAAUCGGUUCACGCGGCUGCGCACGUUGACUAGAAUCUUCAAGGUUAUCGUUCCACUAGUACAUAAGGCAAAGGGUAGUCGAGAAAGGUAUGGAACGUUACUUACCGAAUCAGACUGUACUAUUUCCCUUCUUUUCUACGUUUCAUUCCAAAAGUAUCGAAAAUAAAAUUUUGUCUCCUCUUUGUUACCUAUCGAAACGUUCGAAAUUCGAGAACAAUAAUAAUAACAAAAAAAAAAACGUCGACGACCUUGAGUGGAAGGUCACGCGUUGGAGAGAGUCAAUACGAAGCUUAUCUCGUGAAGAGAGGGAGAAUGAUACGGGGAGAUAGGGAAGGAAGAUGGCCGAAAAAUUCAUCGAAGUGAAGAAGGAAGUAAAAAAGAGAAGAAAAAAGGAGAAGAUAGAAGAAGAUAGCAGAUAAAAAAAAGAAAUAGGUAGAAGUGAGAAAUGGGAGAGCGGUGUCAUUAGGCAUAGGACAGAGGUUGCCGUCGGUCAACCCCUGACGAUUUUAGUGCUGACUAUGGGUGGUAGCGAGAGAAGAGAAGAGAAGAGAAGAGAAGAGAAGAGAAGAGAAGAGAAGAGAACAGGAGGAAGAGGAAUAGGAUGAUGAAGAGAGGUAGGGGUAGGAAAAGGGUAGGAAGGGGUUGUAGUCUCGGUGGCGCGGAGUCGUGGCUGAUCGAUGCGACGGCAGUGCCGCCAGGUGGCGGAGAUGUAGAGGCUGAUGCAAAAGGGGUAACAGGGGGUUGGAAAAGGGUGGCAGUGGCCCUGCACUCUCUCCUCCUCUUAACACUCCUCCUCGACGUUUUCCUAGUGUACCCCACCACCGGCAAUAGCACUACCACCACCACCACCACCACCACCACCACCACCACCACCACCACCACCACCACCACCAUCGCCACCAUUGCCAUCAGCACCAGCUCCGUUAUACUACGUGUACGCACGUACUAACCGAGCGGCGCACGUUGGAGCGGAGCGGCGCAGAUUUCGAGAGGACGACGCGAGUCUCGACGACGACGGACGACUACAACGACUACAACGACUACGACGACUACGACGACUACGACUACGACGACUACAACGACUACAACGACUACGACGACUACGACGACGAAAACGGACUUUCUCUCUUUUCUCUCCUCUCAGUUCUCGCCUGGAUACCGUCCGGUUGAGAGGUAGGCCGGCCUCCGGAGUACAGAGACGCUCGUGCGCAACACGCAAACUCUCUUAUACGGCAUACACCAUCACCUACACGCUCUCACACCCACACUUAGAGAUAUACACAUAUACGUACAAACACUAACACGGAUCGGCGAGCGUCGAUCCUCCUCUUACUCGCGGCGAUGGCCGAGCUUUCGCGACAGUCACGCGUUAUGUCCGAUCGUGCGAUCGUUUUCCUCCUCGACAAGGUAUCAUCGUGACGAUUGCUCCUCUUAUCGAGAGAGGAAAGACGACACUGUCCGGUGAUUCCCUUUGACGAAGUGCCGGAGUAAAAGUGACCUCACGUGGACCUCGCACAGGAAUCCUUAGUUCCCAAAAGUAUCUCGAAACGACUCGAUCUCCUUGCAAUUUUUUCCCAUCUAAAGUCGUCGUUACCGAAGAAAAAAAUUCUUUAGUUCGAUAAGAUCUUAUGGUGCUCGUUAGUGGUGAUUAAUCGAAUCUCUUUGAUGAGUUCGAAGUAAGUUCAGGCAUGGUUGUCUUUUGCUCGUUAACUUUCUCUCUGUCACCGUAAUGCGGAUAGACGGAGACAUAUCUUAUAAUUUAUCUUUCGAAAGGAAUUUCGGUGAAUAACGGGGAGAUAAAGCAACGACGUUUCAACGCGAAUGGUGCACGGCCUCUCACCGUUCCUCGUGAAAUAAUAAGCCGCAGUAAAUUAGCUCGAGCUUGGUGGUGACUUUACUUCGUAGAGCACGCGACUGCACUUAGUUCUUCCUUGACUGUGCCAACUCUUACUUUUUCUUCUUCUUUCUCUCUAUAUAUCUAUCUAUCUCUGUCUAUUUCUCUUUCUUGUUUUAUCUAUUUAGGUUAUUCACGGCAAGUCUACGAUCAAUUCGAAGGAACGAAACUAGAAAUGUACGCUCUCAAACCUAUAAAAAGAUGUUCCAUGUUCUCGGCCCAGAGAUUUAAUCCUUUUGCUAGUUGAGCACGGAGAUACACGCGUUCAUGUUAGACAUUCGCUAUUUCUACAUCAAGAUUAGUGUACUUACCUACUCUCGUGGCUUAUUCGCAAAAGUGUACAGUGUCUUUGAUCAUCUAACUGAAUAGGAUAACGUAUAAUACGAAACUGGAUAAAGAUUAUCAAGAGAUAGAUCGAUAAAUUUAAAAAGAAAUUAAUGAAAUUCGUAGAAAAGUUUUAUUUGAAACAAAAUCGUGAAGAUUAAUCGUCGAAUUUGUGGUAAUUAAAAGCCGGUUGUUCGAUUAUGAUAUUAGAAAUUAGAUUUCUUAUAUGUAGGGGUAACCAUCGAGUUAUCUCGACGGAGAUAAUUAGUUUCUAUUUUCUUUUUCUUGUUUUUUCUUUUUCUUUUUUUUUCUCUUUUAAGGACCUAGCAAUUUUCUUAUCCCUUCCGUUUCCGUAGGCGUCGUGUAAUCGCCCGAGGGACUGUCCUCGGCCAGUGUGCCAAAAAUAGACACGCUAGGAUUGGCAUACAGGGUAUCGUCCGAGGGGGUUAGGAGGUAUCGAGAGUAGCUCGAUAAAGGGGAUGAGGAGAGGAAAAGAGAAGAUGUCGUUGAGAAAGUCGUAGAAGAACAGCGGACGGUGUCGGUGUUUUCGGGUGCGAGAAAAGAAGCAGAAGAAGAAGAAGAAGAAGAAAAAGAAGAAAAAGAA